CCCUACUAACUAACUCUGUCAAGUUAGUCCCUUUAUUCUCAAAAUUAAUGCAUUGCUUUAUUUUAAUUUUUGGUGACUACUUAAGGCUCCGUCUGGCUUAGUAGCUUAAUUUUCCAACAGACGUUCAUUAUUGGGGAGGACUGCCUGAGCCUGGGGCCUCCUAUAUCGUCGGCGAUGAACCACCAAAAACUGUAGCUGCAGGGAGCUGAGACCACAACAUCAAAGCCAGAUCGAGACAACAAGAAGCUACCUACAGACACCUAGUGCCAUAAGUAUAAUCUGAACAGUUAGUUUUCGGCAAGGUCUUGUAUGCUUUGAUUUGACAAUACAUUAUUUUGUUGCGUCUUUAAUGAAAAACCAACAUGACUAGAUAAACAA
rnacentral:lncRNA from 1 species